UACGAAGGGUGCAAGCGUUACUCGGAAUUACUGGGCGUAAAGCGUGCGUAGGUGGUUUGUUAAGUCUGAUGUGAAAGCCCUGGGCUCAACCUGGGAAUUGCAUUGGAUACUGGCAGGCUAGAGUGCGGUAGAGGAUGGCGGAAUUCCCGGUGUAGCAGUGAAAUGCGUAGAGAUCGGGAGGAACAUCUGUGGCGAAAGCGACUCUCUGGACGGCAACUGACGCUGAGGCACGAAAGCGUGGGGAGCAAACAGG
rnacentral:rRNA from 1 species